GACAGAGGGUGCAAACGUUGUUCGGAAUUACUGGGCGUAAAGCGAGUGUAGGCGGUCUGAAAAGUCGGGUGUGAAAGCCCUGGGCUCAACCCAGGAAGUGCACUCGAAACUGCCAGGCUAGAGUAUCGGAGAGGUUGGUGGAAUUCUCGGUGUAGAGGUGAAAUUCGUAGAUAUUCGGAAGAACACCAGUGGCGAAGGCGACUCGCUGGACAGGUAUUGACGCUGAGGUGCGAAAGCGUGGGGAGCAAACAGG
rnacentral:rRNA from 1 species